rnacentral:rRNA from 1 species
UACGUAGGUGGCAAGCGUUGUCCGGAUUUACUGGGCGUAAAGGGAGCGUAGGCGGAUUUUUAAGUGAGAUGUGAAAUACCCGGGCUUAACUUGGGUGCUGCAUUUCAAACUGGAAGUCUAGAGUGCAGGAGAGGAGAAGGGAAUUCCUAGUGUAGCGGUGAAAUGCGUAGAGAUUAGGAAGAACACCAGUGGCGAAGGCGCUUCUCUGGACUGUAACUGACGCUGAGGCUCGAAAGCGUGGGGAGCAAACAGGAUUAGAUACCCGCGUAGUCCCU